CGUCUAGGACACACCACCCUGAACGCGCCGCAUCUCCUCUGAUCUCGUGAAGCUAAGCAGGGUCGGGCCGGGUUAGUACUUGGAUAGAGUCCGCCUGGGAAUAGCGGGUACCCUAGGCUU
rnacentral:rRNA from 10 species